rnacentral:rRNA from 1 species
UACGAAGGGGGCUAGCGUUGCUCGGAAUUACUGGGCGUAAAGCGCGCGUAGGCGGGUCGUUAAGUCGGGGGUGAAAUCCUGGAGCUCAACUCCAGAACUGCCUUCGAUACUGGCGAUCUUGAGUCCGGGAGAGGUGAGUGGAACUCCGAGUGUAGAGGUGAAAUUCGUAGAUAUUCGGAAGAACACCAGUGGCGAAGGCGACAUACUGGCUCAUUACUGACGCUGAGGCUCGAAAGCGUGGGGAGCAAACAGG